ensembl:antisense Dtnbos dystrobrevin, beta, opposite strand
GGACAGCGGUCCCUCCCCAGAGCAAGGUGAACUCAGACAGAGGCAGACACUCGCCAGAGGACCAGCUGCAGAAAGAAAAGGGCACUGUCUUUAGGAAAGACUACCAGGGCACAGCUCUUGGCUGUCUUUAGGCAUUGCCAGUAUGGUGCCUGGCACACAGUAGGGACUCCGUAAAUAGCACUUCCUUCUCAUCUCUUCCAUAUGGAACAGAGGUGUGAAGAUGGGAAGAGGCACAAGAGAAAAAGAUAUUAGUGUCCAUCACCACAGGAGAAACCUGGCAAACCUGGCCAUAGGUCUGGAGAACAAUGAACUGAUUCUCCACAAGAGUCCCAGUGGAAUGCAGUAAAUGGCAGGCCUCGGUCCCAACCACUUACUGAAUAUACUGAUGACUUCCAAAGACCCUUAGAGACCAUUUAGUUCAUCUUCUAUUUCUUCAGUAUUGGUCAAGAGGCCUGGAGGGCCUGGCUAGCAUAGUCUCGGCUACUUAAGGGCAGCUGCUCCUGAGGUGUGGCAUGUGGGUCAUCAACAUCAGUAUCACCUGGCAACUUGUCAGAGAUGGACAACUGAGGCCCCACCUGAGAUCUACAUUUCAAAGCUCUGGUGGGAGUGGGGACACCCAAAAUGUAUCCAAGGGCCAUGGGUUGUGUUUGAGAGCCACUGUUGUAGCAUCCUAAUGGUUCCACUUGCCCACAGGUGCUUUUCUUCUUUUCUAGUCUCUCACCAGUAACCAGGCUGUCACCACACUGGAACACUUGCUUUCAAGCUGCUCUGUUGUUUCCUUCGAGGAUGCACAUACAUGCCCUUUCCCCAGAGAACUGGAAACUGCUUCAGGACCCCAAAGGCCUUCCAGAAAAGAAUUCUAGGGGCUGGGAUACAACUCAGUUGGUAAGGUGCUUGCCUAGUUGCAGGAGGCCCUUGGUUUGAUCUCCUGCACUUCAUAAACCAAGCUCAUGACUGGAAAUUUGGCAUGAGAAGAGACUGAGACAGGAAGAUCAGGGGUUCAAGGCUAUCUUUGGCCACAGUGAGAAAAAAGGGACAGACUGGGAUACAUGAGAUCAUGUCACAAUAAAACAAAUAUAAAGCACAAACCCCAGCCGGGCAUGGUGGUGCACGCCUUUAAUCCCAGCACUCGGGAGGCAGAGGCAGGUGGAUUUCUGGGUUCGAGGCCAGCCUGGUCUACAAAGUGAGUUCNNNNNNNNNNNNNNNNNNNNNNNNNNNNNNNNNNNCGAACCCCCCCCCCCCCAAAAAACCCCCACAAAUCCCAAAGUGGAGGGGGGAAAGAACUUUAGAGCUAGGUAUUAUGGUGCAUCAAUGAUGUAAGCCUAGCACUAGAAGGCAGAGGUAAGAGGAUGCCUUGCAUCAAGCUGCAUUCUAGGAUAGCUUGAGCUACAUGACAAGGCCUUGUCUGAGGGAAGGAGAGACUAGAAUUCUCACUAGCAGUUCUUCUAUGUCAUUCUGACACAGGUUUAUUUAGUAAUUCUCAUGCAUAAGGCACUGGAAAGGAAGACAGGCUUCUCUUACAACCUCACAGUAAGGGUAGGCAGGGAAGAUCACGCUAACUCUCAGCUAUGAAGCACAAAUCUAGACAAGCUUAGGUCCUCUAGAUCACGUGAUUCUCUUCCACAUGAAACACAGAGACCCUGCCUUGAAGAACAACAACAAU